GUUUACAUGUCAUGGCAAAACAUUCAACCUCAGUGACACAAGGGUACAUCUGAUGAUACAUUGUCAACAUUGCACGUAUGUCAGACUCAUCCAAGAUUGUCUGGUGGAAUGGAGAAAGAGGCACCACUGUACAGUUUUCUAGGGAAAGUCGUUCCGCUGACACCAAAACACUGCUUUACAUAAAGCAUAUCAGCUGUUUCAAAGUCCCAACCAUUUGUCUUCCUAAAAUACUGGUCCUUCCGUAUAACAAUAACCUCGUAUGUGAUUGGAGGACCCUUAGACUCCUCGUCCAAUCACGUGUGAGGUCAUAGGCAUGACUCAGACAGCAGUACUUGCAAGACGAGCAUACAAACAGACACGUGUGUGUUACUAUAUUCAGAAGAACUGUAUCUCCAGUUCCUUUGUUUGGUUUUUGCUGCUUCGUGAAUAAUGGCGGGACGACGUCUCGCGUUCAACUCGCCUUCAACUCUUCUCCGCGGUCACCAACUUUCGGCCAGUCCGCAGACAGACGAGAAGAAGCUGCUGAAUGAUCUCAGUGGAUCGUCUCGUCAACUCCAACAACAAACUGCCGAUAUCAACGAGCAGUUCGCUCCACUGGAGCGUUCGGGACUCUGCGGGUUUCUGUCCAUGGAGGAGAGGAACUGACUCAAAGAAGAGGAGACGGGCGCACAAUCCCACGAUAGCGGAAGCGGUGCGCCGUCUUCACAACUCCGAGACGAACUACAGGCGCUACGAACCGGAGCAAGGACUAAUCUCGCCUCAUAAUGAGGCGGUGACCUCGUAUUUGCUCCGGGAAAAGUCCAGAUUUAGACGACGUCAUUGUGUAUAAGUGACACUGUUUACUGUUUCUCCUUCCUUGUUCAAUGUUACUGUGACUUGCGUUUGAUUUUUUUUGUAUUCAUACCACUCAUUUAAUUGUUUUCCAGCCGCCUGUGAGACGUAUUGUGAGACGGGACGGAGGAGCUUCAGGUUCAGGCGGAACACUCACCGCGGGCUGAAGCUGCGAAGGAUUCAGCGCGGAGUCGAGCGAGAAGAAAGACGCUGCUGGAAUCGAGACAAAGUGCGCUGGCUGAUGACGAGGUGGAACUCUGGAAAUCCGCCACCGUGGAGCUCACGUCGGACGGAGAGGACGGUGUUGUUGGCGGGGUCUCGGGGUGGAUUGUACGGUCGCCACACACACACGAGCCGCCUGCACAACAGACCUGCCUCGGAAAACACGGCGCCAGUGACGGUCAACAACCCCGAGGAGGCAAACGGACAGUUUACUGAGCUGUAGUUUUUAAACCGCCGUUACCCAAGUGCGGGCAGAUCCUCACUUUGUAUGUAGUUGUUGUUUGUGUGUUGUUAAUA
ensembl:lncRNA